UACGUAGGGUGCAAGCGUUAAUCGGAAUUACUGGGCGUAAAGCGUGCGCAGGCGGUGAUGUAAGACAGGUGUGAAAUCCCGGCUUAACCUGGGAACUGCAUUUGUGACUGCAUAGCUAGAGUACGGUAGAGGGGGAUGGAAUUCCGCGUGUAGCAGUGAAAUGCGUAGAUAUGCGGAGGAACACCGAUGGCGGAGGCAAUCCCCUGGACCUGUACUGACGCUCAUGCAC
rnacentral:rRNA from 1 species